AUACAAUUUUCCUUGCAAACUCUAUUCAGAGAGCAGCUUCCUGCUUGGUGGGUCUCCAUAGUCCCCACAGAUCCCUGCAAUGGAGAGCAACUCGGAGACUGAAUGAAUAGAAAGUAACUUAUUUUAGGCUUUCUUAGUUAAGAAGAAUUGUUUUUUUGUACCUUGAUUUCUAUUGGCACAUGAAAUUAAGCAUUUGACACGCUUUCCUUGUGGGAAACCAGCUCCUGACCCGUAGUUCGAUGUGAGGAAGUUACCUCACUUCCAUUUAUUUUCCAGCCCAAAUGAUCAAUGAGUGCAAAUAUGAGCAGGUUCUAAAGUGUAGAGCACCAGGCAAAGAGACAUAAAUAGAAAAUCGAUGAUAUCAAGUGUGAACUUUGUGAUUCUAAACUGGAAUCAAGUAAUUGUGUUUCUCCUGAAAAGCCUCCGUGCUUUUUAGUUUUAGCCAUGAAAAGGCCGAGAAGUCAGAAGGAGCAGCCCAGCACCCCAGCUGGGGUGUCUGAGGACCAAGCCCACUGCAGGAGAGAUGCUCAUUAGACAACUCGGUUCUGGGCUGGGAAAGGAAGUGGGUGGGAGGAGCCUGGGGCACUUCCGGGCUGAACAGCAAGGGCGGCCUCAGAAUGGGGGGGCUGUGUCCCAGCGCACGGAGCCCACCUCAGGCACUCCCUCAAUGCGGGAUAGAAGCGUGGGGGUUAAGGAGGGACUAGAGCAGAUUGAAAUACAUCAUUACAUUUACAAUCUUGAGUUCAUAAUAAUGAUUUUUUAAAAGGACCUCACAUUACUUUUUUGGGUGCUAGAACAUCGACUCAUUAUUCUAAAAAGUGAUGGAAAGAGGAAAGCGCUGUAAGGUCCUUCCUGUAGGAAACAUACUCAGGGCAGAUGCAUGGUUUUUGAGGGAACAGAAGAUUCUAGGUGAUAAACUCGACAAAUGCUAAAACUGGAAAACCGUCAUCUGAAACCCCCAGUGAAAUAGUGACUCUAGGCUCCUCAGAGGACGCUGGUCAGGGGUUGAUGGGAUCUUCAUGACAAGGGCUCAGGGUUGCCUCAAACCCUCUAAGCAUUUGCAGCUCACCUGAAGUUGGGAUGCAGAGACAGGAUGUCCUGAGAGGGUGCAGCAGGUGGGACACAGCAGGAGUGAUGAAGCACUUUUGCUUCCAAAUCAAACCAGCAUCUACUCAAGGCUCAAGGACGGUCAUUUUAAAGGAGAGGAAACCAUCUGCCAAGUCCAGAAUGUGGACAUUUCACAGAACAGACUGCCUGCCUUCUCUAAUAAUAAGUUUUAUUUUUAAAGACACGAGGAUAAUAAUAAGUUUUAUUUUUAAAGACACGAGGAUAAUAAUAAGUUUUAUUUUUAAAGACACGAGGAUAAUAAUAAGUUUUAUUUUUAAAGGCAGGAGGACACAGUAGAAUGAGAUGAGUCAGCCUCAGUGUGUCCUGGUUUGGAGCCUGGCGUGCACAAGCCAGUGACUGUCACAGGCAUUGUUGGAACAGUGGGGGAAGUCCGAGUGUGUCCUGGGUGUGUAGGGGGCAAACCUUGUCUUCUACCCUCCUAGGGUCCCUGGCAGGGCCUGAGAAUGGAAUUGGCCUAAGGCAGGUUGACGGGGAAGAACAUCGGAUUUGUUGAAUGUGGGGUCUACCUGACACGGAGCCCCACGGGAAAGGAAGACUGAGGAGUGGCACAGCCUGCACGCUGCCCUGUGGUGUUGGGCAGAGGCCACGGUGGACAAGCCACCAAACAAGAUGGGAGACGGAGGGAAGGCGAGGGCUGUGCUAACAGGUCUAUCUGUGCAGAGCCACUCAGCUUCCGACCCUGUAUUCGUCAGGGAUCUCUAGAGGGACAGAACGAAUGGAAUAGAUGUAUAUGUAAAGGAACAGUUUAUUAGGUGUUAACUCACACAAUCACAAGGUCCUACAACAGCCAUCUGCAGGCUGAGGAGCAAGCAGAACCAGUCUGAGUUCCAACUGAAGAACUUGGAGUCCAAUGUUCGAGGGCAGGAAGCAUCCAGCAUGGGAGAAGGAUGUAGGCUGGGAAGCUAGGCCAGUCUCUCUUCACAGUUUCUUUCCUGCUUAUAUUCAGCUGGCACCUGAUUAGAUGGUGCCCACCCAGAUUGAGGGUGGGUCUGCCUUUCCCAGCCCACUGACUCAAAUGUUAAUUUCCUUUGGCAACAGCCUCACAGACACACCCAAGAUCAAUACUUUGUAUUCUUUAAUCCGCUGAUCAAGUGGACACUCAGUAUUAACCAUCACAGACCCCAGCUACCGACAAGAACAUGCUUUGCUCCUGGCCCAGCGAGGGCGGCUCUCACGGGAGGGUCAGAUCCUGCCUUCAGCGCAGGAGGAAGAGGGGAAGCCAGAGUGCUCUGCGUGAGCCUCCUGCUUCUCAGGAGCCUUUAAGUAAAGAUAAUCCUGAUGCCUAAGUGGCAUAUUUUGGGGUGACGUGUUCUGCCACUCUCCAUGUGACCUUAAUUUUAUAAAGUGUGAUGAAUGGCAUGGUGAUUGUAUUGUAGAAUGUCUUUUUUUUUUUUUAGAGAUGGGAGGUCUCACUAUGUUGCCCAGGCUAGUCUUGAACUCCUGGCUCAUGUGAUCCUCCUGCCUUUUCCUCCCAAAGUGCUAAGAUUGUAGACCUGAGCCACCACACCGGGCAAAUUGUGCUUUAAAAGUGUUCUUAUCAUUUAAAAAUGCAGCCUGUAAUACUUAGCGAUAAAACGAUCUAUUGUCUGGUUUUGAAUGUAAAGUAUGCCUAAGAAAGGGAGGUGGAUUGUGCAGGAAUAUCUGUAAAAUAAGAUUGGCCGGAUGUUCAGCACUUGUGGUGCCGGAUGAUUGCACCUGAGGACGUGUCGUGCUGUUUCCCCCAUUUCUGC